rnacentral:rRNA from 1 species
UGAACGCUAGCGGCAGGCCUAAUACAUGCAAGUCGAACGGUGUCUUCGGACAUAGUGGCGCACGGGUGCGUAACACGUAUGCAACCUACCUUACAUUGGGGGAUAGCCUUUCGAAAGGGAGAUUAAUACCGCAUAAGACAGUAGCUGGGCAUCCAGCAGCUGUUAAAGAUUUAUCGAUGUAAGCUGGGCAUGCGUCCAAUUAGCUAGUUGGUGAGGUAAUGGCUCACCAAGGCUAUGAUUGGUAGGGGAACUGAGAGGUCAAUCCCCCACACUGGCACUGAGAUACGGGCCAGACUCCUACGGGAGGCAGCAGUAGGGAAUAUUGGGCAAUGGACGCAAGUCUGACCCAGCCAUGCCGCGUGCAGGAUGAAGGCGUUAUGCGUUGUAAACUGCUUUUAUACAGGAAGAAACGACUCUUGCGAGAGGCAUUGACGGUACUGUAUGAAUAAGCACCGGCUAACUCCGUG